AGGGUUUGAUUAUGGCUCAGGAUUAACGCUGGCGGCGUGCAUAACACAUUCAAGUCGAACGGAGAGAUACAACCCUUGGGUAGUAUUGAUCAGUGGCGGACGGGUGAGUAACGCGUGAGUAACCUGCCUGUGAGAGGGGAAUAACAGCUGGAAACGGGUGCUAAUACCGCAUAAAGCAUAAUAAUCGCAUGAUUGAUAUGCCAAAGAGAGAUCGCUCACAGAUGGACUCGCGUCUGAUUAGAUAGUUGGUAGGGUAAAGGCCUACCAAGUCUGCGAUCAGUAGCCGGACUGAGAGGUUGAACGGCCACAUUGGAACUGAGAGACGGUCCAG
rnacentral:rRNA from 1 species